UGUCAAUUGCACGAAGGUGUGACACGUCGAUGAAUGCAGCGUGGUGUUUCGACCGCCGUUUCGCCCGAACCGGCACGAAACGGGCGAUACGUACCGGUCCGGGUGUGAACCGCUACACGGACGGCCUCCGAUUCGGGCGGUCCGCCUUGACCCAUUAACUGGAGCUUUUAGGGCCCGCAUUCGCGCCACCACUUCGCCGGAACGCGAGUGCGUCUUGCCUCGUGCUACCGCCCGUCGCUGCUCGCCGUCGACGGUACGCUUCCUCCUCCUCCUCUUCUUCCUUCCACCUCUUCCUCCACUCCUCUUCGAAACAUCGCCCAUGUACCGGUGUUUCGUGUGUCAGUGGUCUGGCUUUGUCCCUCUUUGAGUUUGCGAAGGGUGUCAAACUGGCCCUUGGCAAGGCAAUAGAGUUUCUGAACGGUGUCACCAAAAGCUUCCCUCGCCAGAACAAAUGAGGGAGGAGCGGGGGAGCGAUGGAGAUCGGAAGAGGAAGAACAAGCAGACAAGAUUACAGGAAGAGCAAAGGUAUCUGUUUGACAUUGCUACUCUUCUUCCUUGGAUGUACUCCGGAUCCGGGUUUAGAGGAGGGGCUUCUGGUUGAAGGGCUUCCUUUUGUUUGGUUUAUAAUGUUACCAAAUUCUUGGAGGAACAAUGUGGAGGAGACGAUGAUUUAUUGACGGCCAUCAGUACAUCCUUCUCUAUUAAGAACAGUAGAAAAUCCAUUUUCAUCUUCUUGGAUUUGAAGAAAGGAUUCAACUGAUAAUUUUGAAGAGGUUGGGUUGGAUAGAGCACUUAUUACAAGGGCAACUAUCAAUGAGCACUGUCAAUGAGAUGCAGCAACAAUCCUUUCCAAGAUCAAGACACUCGAAUUCAUCAUAACUUCAGUUUUUGUUUCCACUCGCAAUCUUGGGAUGAGCUACUGCCAUCAGAGUUAUACACUAAAUCAGCUUAAAAUCUUUUGAUGCGCUUGCAAUGUUAAGCUGGUGGUAGUUGUACACGUCAAAAGUCAUUUCCUUGUUCCUCAUUCAUAAAAGCUUUUGACAACAAAACCUUUCGCCAUUAAGCUUUGCUGUAGUGAACUGUACCUGAGAAACAUAAAAGUUGCUCGAGGUUCUGCCUCGCCAUUUCCUUCACUCGUGCACUUUCUAAUCUUCAUUGUACAUGUAUAGAACUCAAACAUGAUGUGGCCUAUGGACCUGAUGAUGAUGUUGCUCUUUUCCCA